UGAGAUUAUGCCUGAGGUUGUGGAAAAGG
rnacentral:piRNA from 1 species